GCCUGGGCUCCCACCCGCCCAGCCGCCCUCGUGGGCCUUGGGGGCCACCUCUCCUCAGCCCUGCUUCCCCAGAGAUGUGUGGGAAGCAGGAGCUGUGGGCAUGUCCUGACCCUUUCUGGAUGUGUGACCGUGAAAGAAGGACCUAACAGCCCUGUGCCUCAGGUUCCCCUCUUCUUGGACUGGCCAUUGGUGUACAGCUCAGUGCCUCGCUUGGGGCUGGGUCCACAGAGAGCCACGUGGCCUGAAACGUUCCUGAUGAGGGAUUUCCUUCUCCAUGGACUGUAUUCUGUAGUUGCUGGAGACUCACCGAGCUUACCCACUCAGUGUCAGAGAUGAUGUAGGAAACCUGCCUGUUUGUCCUAGGAUUUCUCAAAUGGCUCCGAGCUCAUUUCCGUAACACAGGUGGCCUGCCUGAGCCCAGGCUAAGGUUGCCGACUCCCCAGCUCCCGGCAGUUCUGCACUUUGCCUAAAAAUGUGAACCGUGUGUGCAACCUACAGGCCGGUGGCCGGGUGUCCUCUGCAGGGCAUCCCAGCACCACACCCAAGCCACUGGCCAGCCUGCAAAAGGGCUCGGUGGGGAGGGUGUGUCUUAACGUGGGCAUUCUUGUUACCUGGAAUGGCGAGGCCAACACAUCAGGGGACAAUUGUCAGAGGAGGGGCAGGCCCCUGGGGACCACUGCCAGGAAGCCACUGGUUGGUCAGGAGGCAGAGGGAGGAGGACGUGUGGGCAGGAGCCUUUCCUGUGGUUUUAGUUGGACUUGGCAAGGCCAGGCGAGCAGGCUGAGGCCGGGCCAGUUUGAACAACUCAGGGGCUGUCCGUGUUGUGUGAGACCUGCCCUGGGCUGUUUGGGGCAGGAGACAGUGGGCCCUGCGUGGGCUGCUUUGCCUUUGAAAAGCACGCUCCUAGGCAGCGGGUCCCUAUCUCUGGGAGGGACAGUCCCUGCAGGAUCAGCAAGGCCCCAAAGCCCAGAGCUUCGGAAAUACGACUAGAAAUAAGGGAGAGGGGACCCGGGUCUGAGGCUCUGCUCUUUCUCCCUUGGGCUCCCCAGGGGACAGCCUGCUGGGCCAGGAGUGCCCCACACCCGCCCGGAAACAGAGCCCUGGGCUAGCACUCGGCACUGUGACCUCCAGCACCGAUCCUGGUCUGGGGGGUCCGUUCCUAAAGCUCAGCUUUCCCCAGCUUCCGUGUGGAGUUGGCACGCCGUCACGUGUGUUUCAGGUUUAAUCCUGUGCCCAACACGAAGACUUGACACACGGUGGUCUUUACUUGUAGUUCUCGUGGCUGUCGGAAGAGUCUUCUUCUCUAAAACACCCCUUCGUGACAAGAACCAAGCUCAGCCCCCAUCAUGGCCACACGGAGCAGGUGGGGGGAUGGCUGAGUGGAGACCCCCGGGGACCCCAGACCCUCGAGAACCAGCCCCUGUUCACUGGCCCGUCCCAGGUGCCGAUGGAGGGGUGGGUGGGAGCAGAUUUCAGAGAGGGAGAAGUGGGGGCCUC